AUUGAACGCUGGCGGCAGGCCUAACACAUGCAAGUCGAGCGGAUGAAGGGGGCUUGCUCCUGGAUUCAGCGGCGGACGGGUGAGUAAUGCCUAGGAAUCUGCCUGGUAGUGGGGGAUAACGUCCGGAAACGGGCGCUAAUACCGCAUACGUCCUGAGGGAGAAAGUGGGGGAUCUUCGGACCUCACGCUAUCAGAUGAGCCUAGGUCGGAUUAGCUAGUUGGUGGGGUAAAGGCCUACCAAGGCGACGAUCCGUAACUGGUCUGAGAGGAUGAUCGGUCACACUGGAACUGAGACACGGUCCAGACUCCUACGGGAGGCAGCAGUGGGGAAUAUUGGACAAUGGGCGAAAGCCUGAUCCAGCCAUGCCGCGUGUGUGAAGAAGGUCUUCGGAUUGUAAAGCACUUUAAGUUGGGAGGAAGGGCAGUAAGUUAAUACCUUGCUGUUUUGACGUUACCAACAGAAUAAGCACCGGCUAACUUCGUG
rnacentral:rRNA from 1 species